rnacentral:rRNA from 1 species
UGAGGAAUAUUGGACAAUGGGCGCAAGCCUGAUCCAGCAAUGCCGCGUGCAGGAUGAAGGCCUUCGGGUUGUAAACUGCUUUUGUACGGAGCGAAAAGGUCUGCCCUAAUACGGUGGGCUCAUGACGGUACCGUAAGAAUAAGCACCGGCUAACUACGUGCCAGCAGCCGCGGUAAUACGUAGGGUGCGAGCGUUAAUCGGAAUUACUGGGCGUAAAGCGUGCGCAGGCGGUUAUAUAAGACAGAUGUGAAAUCCCCGGGCUCAACCUGGGACCUGCAUCUGUGACUGUAUAGCUAGAGUACGGUAGAGGGGGAUGGAAUUCCGCGUGUAGCAGUGAAAUGCGUAGAUAUGCGGAGGAACACCGAUGGCGAAGGCAAUCCCCUGGACCUGUACUGACACUCAUGCACGAAAGCGUGGGGAGCAAACA